rnacentral:rRNA from 1 species
AACGAACGCUGGCGGCAGGCCUAACACAUGCAAGUCGAGCGCCCUUUCGGGGGAGCGGCGGACGGGUGCGUACCGCGUGGGAAUAUGCCCUUCUCUACGGAAUAGCCUCGGGAAACUGAGAGUAAUACCGUAUACGCCCUUUGGGGGAAAGAUUUAUCGGGGAAGGAUUAGCCCGCGUUGGAUUAGGUAGUUGGUGGGGUAAUGGCCUACCAAGCCGACGAUCCAUAGCUGGUUUGAGAGGAUGAUCAGCCACACUGGGACUGAGACACGGCCCAGACUCCUACGGGAGGCAGCAGUGGGGAAUCUUAGACAAUGGGGGCAACCCUGAUCUAGCCAUGCCGCGUGAGUGAUGAAGGCCGUAGGGUUGUAAAGCUCUUUCAGCUGGGAAGAUAAUGACGGUACCAGCAGAAGAAGCCCCGGCUAACUCC